rfam:Candidatus Glomeribacter gigasporarum BEG34, WGS project CAFB01000000 data, contig: ContigFtsYNew-1692
GAGGGUAGGUCCCUCGGUAUCGCCUUGCAGGAGGGGAUACCAAACCACCUUAAGCGGCUGAGGACAAAA